AGAGUUUGAUCCUGGGUCAGAAUUGACGCUGGCGGAAUGCUUUAACAUGCAAGUCGAACGGAACUUAGGGGCUUGCUCUUGAGUUUAGUGGCGAACGGGUGAGUAAUAUUCGGAUAACGUAUCCAAUAAUGGGGGAUAACAAUCGAAAGGUUGGCUAAUACCGCAUACGCCCUACGGGGGAAAGCAGGGGAUCUUCGGACCUUGCGUUAAUGGAGCAUCCGAUAUCUGAUUAGCUAGUUGGUGAGGUAAAGGCUCACCAAGGCGACGAUCGUUAGCUGGACUGAGAGGACGGUCACCCACACUGGAACUGAGACACGGUCCAGACUCCUACGGGAGGCAGCAGUGGGGAAUUUUGGACAAUGGGCGAAAGCCUGAUCCAGCCAUUCCGCGUGAGUGAAGAAGGCCUUCGGGUUGUAUAGCUCUUUCGGCAGAAAAGAUGACGAUGACGGUCCCUUGAUAAGAAGCACCGGCAUAUAACUACGUAUCAGCCGCGGGUUAUAUACUUAGGGGAAGCCGCUAAUCGCAACUACUGGGCCUAAAGCGUGCGCAGGCGGUUUUGAAAGCCAGAUGUAAAAUCCCCCCCACCGCAGCUCAACAACUGGGAAACUGCGUUUAAAACU
rnacentral:rRNA from 1 species